AUGCAAUUAUUCAUUAAGGUAUCGUUUUGUUCGGGGAUAAAUAAAACGUGGCUAUUCCAAAUAUAGAUAUAAAUUGAGGUAUAAACGGAGAUUAGAUCAAUUUUGCGUUUGGAUGAAAAUUGGACUAUUUCUGGGAAUAAAAAAAAUAUCGUUUGGUUAGGUAAAAUGGAAUAAGAAUUAAAGUCAGUAGUUAUAAAUAAAAAAUAAUGAUAUUAUUCUUUUCUUUAUAUUAGAAUUUAAAUUUUUAUAUUUUAUAUUAAAUUUAAUAAAAAUAAUUUAUUAUAAUAUUUAAAUAUAAUUUACUAUAAAAUUCUUUAUAAUAUUUAAAUAUAAAUAAUAUGUAUUAAUAUAGUACAAUUAAUAAUUUUAUAAUAAAAAUAAUGUAUUAUAAUAUAGAACAUAUUAUAUUUAUAUAAUUUAGUUUNAUUAUUCAUUAAGGUAUCGUUUUGUUCGGGGAUAAAUAAAACGUGGCUAUUCCAAAUAUAGAUAUAAAUUGAGGUAUAAACGGAGAUUAGAUCAAUUUUGCGUUUGGAUGAAAAUUGGACUAUUUCUGGGAAUAAAAAAAAUAUCGUUUGGUUAGGUAAAAUGGAAUAAGAAUUAAAGUCAGUAGUUAUAAAUAAAGAUGAAAUUUAUUAUUAAUAAAUUUAUAAAUUUUUUAAAAAAUUUCUACUUAAACUUAAAUUUAAUAAAAAUAAUUUAUUAUAAUAUUUAAAUAUAAUUUACUAUAAAAUUCUUUAUAAUAUUUAAAUAUAAAUAAUAUGUAUUAAUAUAGUACAAUUAAUAAUUUUAUAAUAAAAAUAAUGUAUUAUAAUAUAGAACAUAUUAUAUUUAUAUAAUUUAGUUUAAUUCAAUUUGUAAUUUUAAUUAAAUUUGAAAUUAAGCGUUGAAAUAGCACUAUUCUAUCAAGAUGAUGGAAUAGUAAAUCUCAAGCUAUUCCGGGAUAACCGGAAAUAGCAAGGUUUGACCGGCAUAAAAUAUCCCGGCAAAAAUUCCGAUUAUCCCGGGAUAAAAUAUCCCAGCAAAAAAUCAUCCCAUUUGGCGGAUUUGGAAGUAUUUGAAAACUAAAUUUCAUAAUUUUUCGGUAUCAUUUACCUAUCAAACUAGUAGUCUAAAAAUAAAUGACUGAAAAUAAAAAUCUCAUAAAAUAUGAUUAGAAAAUACUUUUUUUUGAGAGAAGGGUAGCACGCUACCCGCUUCAUUCAGUAAGUAAAUGAAUUAAGCUACAUGGGUGAGGCAGCAAGGCCUCGGCGUAAGGCGAGUCACAAGCGGAAAAAA
rnacentral:lncRNA from 1 species